CUCUCUCUCUCUCUCUCUUCUCUGAGAUUUCCGUCUCCAAAGAAGGAGAAAGCUCCUCCUCCAUCUUCGGUUCUCGUCUUCAUCGGAUCUCUCUCUAUCUCUCUCUCCGAUCAUUAGAUCCUUGAAAUACAGUUUUGGAUGCUUCCUGGUACAUGCCUGACGAGCAGCGAAAUCCAUUUCAAGAAUAUCAGGUUCAAGUCUUCAACAAAUAGAGGGCCUGGUUCUACAGCACUCUAUGGCUCCAAGCAAUAUAAUCUCAAUGUUGUGCCACUUACCGAAUCAGCUAUGCUUCUCAGCCCAUUGCAGGGAAACUUCCCAGGGAGGAAUUUGGGCUCAUUGCAAGAAAAGGGCCCACAUCACACAUAGUGGACACGUGAUCAUGGCCAGUGAGUUUGGUGUUGUAGACAUCUGCCAGAAGAUGUGGCUAGGAAACGAAGACAUAUGAUCGGUCCACAAGGGGACCUUACUGAAACAAUUCAUGUGGAAGGCUAGGAAAGGAAGACAGUUAUAGUUUGUUUUGAAAACUUUAAAUGGACCAUUAAUUGUUUUGUUGAUAUUGUGCUAAUUGUUGUCUUGAUGAAUGUUAAAUGGGUGAAAUAUGCACAGGCUCAAUCAUUUGUUGAUUAUGAUA